GAGGAGCACAGGGAUUGUCUGGUACCCACACAGGUGCUGACCACGCUGGGCUUCCUGGAAACAGGGGCUUUCCAGCGGGAGCUGGCUAAUCAGUCAGGAGUGUGCCAGUCAAC